AGAAACAGUUUAUCCAGUAUAACAAUUUGAUUUAUAUACAAAUCUUCAAGGCUCCUAAGAUGAAUUCUAAGAGGGUCACGACUGUGACUGUUUGUACUCACAGUGAAGCUCAAUAUUUGAUGCAACCGUCAGCCAAGAAAAAGGUGAAAAACUCACCAUCGCUGAACAUUUCAUCAUCUGUAAGCUGCCCACCCUUAGCAUAAAGGACUCCAAAUUUAAAAUUCACAGGUCCCUGAGAAAUAAAACCAAAUGCAUGAAUUUCUGGAGCUGCGCAGCAUGCCACGGAGUGCCAAAUGCAGUCUGUCUGAGGCACACUGAGCUGACACGGAGGUCACAUCUGAUGCACCUUUCCAUCAUUGCUUAUGCUAGGUCA